GGGCCCGCACAAGCGGUGGAGUAUGUGGUUUAAUUCGAUGCAACGCGAAGAACCUUACCAGGGUUUGACAUCCUGCGAAUCUCUUGGAAACAGGAGAGUGCCUUCGGGAACGCAGUGACAGGUGCUGCAUGGUUGUCGUCAGCUCGUGCCGUGAGGUGUCAGGUUAAGUCCUAUAACGAGCGCAACCCCUGUGGUUAGUUGCCAGCGAGUGAAGUCGGGAACUCUAGCAAGACUGCCGGUGCAAACCGUGAGGAAGGUGGGGAUGACGUCAAAUCAUCACGGCCCUUACGUCCUGGGCUACGACACGUGCUACAAUGGUAGGGACAGAGAGCAGCCAUUUCGCGAGAAAGAGCGAAUCUAUAAACCCUAUCUCAGUUCGGAUCGAAGUCUGCAACUCGACUUCGUGAAGCUGGAAUCGCUAGUAAUCG
rnacentral:rRNA from 1 species